GGAGAGACCCCUCCCCCCCCGCCAUUCGCUGCCCUGGGCCCGGGAAAGCUGCCGGCAGCCCCGGCUGAGGAAUCGCAUCCACGUUUCGCUCCAGAUUGUCCCGUCUUCCAGAGGACAGAGAAGGGAAAUGGCUGCGAUGGAGACAGCUCAGAUGCCGGUGACCUUCGAGGAGGUGGCUGUGUAUUUCACCCAGGGGCAGGGGGCUCUG